GCAUAUUUCAAUUUUCUACUCAUUUCCAAUUUCUUCUCUCUCACUUUCUUUUUCCUCACGCUCUCUCUCUCAAAAUUUCCCCAACAACCUUCUUUCUCUCUUUUCUCUCUACAACAUCCUCUCUUAUCUCUCUACAGCAACCUUCUUUCUCUCUUUUUUCUCUUUCUGCUUCUAUCUUGCUUCCAUAUCCCUCUUCCUUUUGCUAUUCUUCUUCUCCCUUCUUUCUCUUUUGUUAUCUGAAACAAUAAUGGUGUCUGAAUCGGGGGACGGUGUGCGAAUCGAUUGGAUUCAGAUUUUUUAGGGUUUCAAAUAGUGAUAAUCGGUUAUAAAGUUAGGGUUUUUAAUUUGUAGUUUGGGUUUUAGUGGUUUAUUUGAUGAUUUUGUGGUUUGUUUUUCAGGAUAUAGACUGGAUCGAGUUUUACCGCUGAGUUAUGAAGCUAACUAGUUAUAGACUGAAUCGAGUUCUACCGCCGAGUUUGAAGCUAACAAGGUCUGAAUAAACACCAGUUCAAACGUAACAACUGUUAUCGCCUUUGUGAAGUUAGCGCUGACCAAUUUCUUGCAGAAAUUGAAGAGAAGCUGAGGAGUUUGUUUCCAACAAGUGGGCUUUUUCCAGGUAUAUAUGGAAUUAUUGAUUAAUGGUGUAGAAUCGUAUUUUAAUGUUCUUCUAUUUGAUGCAGUUUUUUUAUUAUUGCUUCUCUACAUACAUCUUGGAUAUGGUUCAUCACUUCCUUAGUUUUAUUGUUUUUGUUUCUGCUGUAUGGCAAUGCUUCUUAGUUUUGGAGAGGCUGUUGCCAGAAGCAAUAGGUCACCUGAAAAACUGCUUAUUCUUCUCGACAUGUACGAGAUAAUGAGAAAGGUGGGGAAGAUGCUUUUUUGUGAGCAACUAUAAUGGAGGAGUUAUUGUUGUUGCCGAUGGUGUCUCUGGGUAACUUACUUUCUCACUAACUUCAAUUUUAUAGAAUUAAUUGUUAGUUUCAGCUUUGCUAUUAUACAUCAUAUUGAGAUCCUUCAUUGAUCCCGGGGGAAUUGAUGGUUAAUUCCUACAAUUUUGUAGGAGAUGAGGAGGUAUCAUAAAUUUUUUUUUAUUAAAUACAGGGAAAAUGCCAGGAUGUUUUACUGCAAAAUGCUCUGGAAGCAUCAGAUCCAUUGUUAGCACCCCAAGCUACUUCUGGUAGCUUCAUGUGGUGAGCAUUAGUCUGUUUUUUUACUCUAUUCCCCCGCGUGAUGUGAAUCUUUUGAGUUAUACAGACAGGUCUCUGAAGAAUUCUUGAUCACAAAAAUAGUUUCUAACAUAUAAAUGGG